UACGUAGGGUGCGAGCGUUGCCCGGAUUUAUUGGGCGUAAAGGGCGCGUAGGCGGUGAGAUGCGUCCGUUGUGAAAUCGCCCGGCUCAACUGGGCGGGGUCAGCGGAUACGGUCUCACUUGAGCAAGCUAGGGGGCAAUGGAAUUCCGGGUGUAGCGGUGAAAUGCGUAGAUAUCCGGAGGAACACCGAUGGCGAAGGCAGCCGCCUGGCCUAGGACUGACGCUGAGGUGCGAAAGCGUGGGGAGCGAACGGG
rnacentral:rRNA from 1 species